rnacentral:snRNA from 1 species
AAACUUUUUCUAAACAGUUUCUGUUCUUAUCAGCUAAAUAUCUGAUACGGAUUUAAUUGGUCCAAGAUAUUAAACUUAUUUUUGUAUGGGGUGUUCCUACGAGCUUGCUUUGAGGACGCCAGGGGCGGUCCGGUAUUGCACUACAUUCCGAGAAUGGCCCGUCCCCG